GCUCCUGUGGCCUAGUGGUUAGAACGUUUGCCUCAGAUGCGAGAGGUCGUGGCUUCGAUCCCCCGCAGAGCU